rnacentral:rRNA from 1 species
UCAGAUUGAACGCUGGCGGCAUGCUUUACACAUGCAAGUCGAACGGCAGCACGAAAGAGCUUGCUCUUUUGGUGGCGAGUGGCGAACGGGUGAGUAAUACAUUGGAACGUACCGAGUAAUGGGGGAUAACUGUCCGAAAGGAUGGCUAAUACCGCAUACGCUCUGAGGAGGAAAGCGGGGGACCUUCGGGCCUCGCGUUAUUCGAGCGGCCAAUGUCUGAUUAGCUAGUUGGUGGGGUAAAGGCCUACCAAGGCGACGAUCAGUAGUGGGUCUGAGAGGAUGAUCCGCCACACUGGGACUGAGACACGGCCCAGACUCCUACGGGAGGCAGCAGUGGGGAAUUUUGGACAAUGGGCGAAAGCCUGAUCCAGCCAUGCCGCGUGUCUGAAGAAGGCCUUCGGGUUGUAAAGGACUUUUGUCAGGGAAGAAAGGGUUUGGGUUA